CGCUGGUCCAAAACCGGAGGCACCAGAGAGUCCUCCUCCAUCACCGCUGCCACCCGAUGUGCUGUUUGCAAUCACAGGAGGCUGCGUAACGGCUGCGGGAGUGCCCGAUCCUCCUCCACCUCCUGCUGUGUGCUGGAAAACGGCUGGCUGGAUAAUGUUUGUGUUUGUCUGGGUAGAAGCACCCAUUCCUCCUCCUCCUCCAGCUCCUGCCGUGUGCUGGAACAUGGCUGGCUGGAUAAGGUUUGUGUUUCUCUGGGUAGAAGCACCCAUUCCUCCUCCUCCUCCAGCUCCUGCCGUGUGCUGGAGCAUGGCUGGCUGGGUAAGGUUUGUCUGGGUAGAAGCACCCAUUCCUCCUCCUCCUCCAGCUCCUGCCGUGUGCUGGAGCAUGGCUGGCUGGGUAAGGUUUGUGUUUGUCUGGGUAGAAGCACCCAUUCCUCCUCCUCCUCCACCUCCUGCCGUGUGCUGGAACAUGGCUGGCCUGAUAAGGUUUUUGUUUCUCUGGGUAGUGGUACCCAUUCCUCCUCCAGCUCCUCC
ensembl:lncRNA